CUGGUCUGCUGGGUCUAGAGGAGGGAGGGCCUCAAGCCGCGUGCUUUUCACCGUCUGAGUAUCUGAAGCCUCAAAGCCAUGUCUGUCGCCUACAAAAAGUGGGUCGGUGUUUACGACCUGUGUCCCAUGUUUUUAGCAUCCUACCAAGGCGAAUCCAUUGACCAGGAUUUAAGUUGAGACUCCCCCAGGACCCCGGGUGCAGCAUCUGGGUCCCCCUGCCCCGCCCUGCCUUGCGCCGCAGCCGCUUCCGUUGUCCUGCCAGGCUGUAGACUGCGCAGCCCUCCUGGAGACAGAUGGAAGCUCCUUGGGUCGACAGAUUACAGCUUCUGGAACCCCCUACUCCCUUCAACUCCGAGAUGGACACCCACUGUCCAGGGAGAGGAUGCCUGGAAAUAACAGCUGGGAUCUACAGUGGCCAAAGAGUUGUCUCCGUCUUGCUACAUCGACAAACUGGUGCUCCUGAGUGAGGAUUGUGCCCUGGGAUGGGGGAUUCAGUUUCUUCAUUUAUAGUUGGAAGUGGGUGAAGGUGAGGUGAGGCUGGGUUCUUUGAGGUGUGCCUGCUUGUUGCUGUACCCACUUGGGAUCUGUGUCUUGUGUGUCCUGUGUUCCCACUGUCGCUUCUGUACCCUUCUGCUUUACUCUGGUGGGUGGAGAGCAGAAUGGAAAGGAGCCAGAAGAUUUUGGGGGUCAUAUGCACCAUCCAGAUUUCAGCCACUGCUCUCUGCUGGCUUCCGGGCCUUGUCUGGUUCUUGAUUUCCUCAUCUGAAAAAUGGGACUACCUCUGUGACAUAAGAGUCCUGUCACCUCAGUUCUGCCAGCUGGGCAGGUUGCAUUGAUCUAAGACAGCAAGUGCUGAGCCUACUGCAGGUCUCGUGGCCAGUGCUUAUUAGAACUGUCACCUCCUCCCGGCCAGUCUUCCGAGCUCUCCUUAAGGAACA
rnacentral:lncRNA from 1 species